rnacentral:rRNA from 1 species
UACAGAGCCUGCAAGCGUUAUUCGGAUUCACUGGGCGUAAAGGGUGCGCAGGCGGCCAAGUGUGUCAGGUGUGAAAUCCCGAGGCUUAACCUCGGAACUGCGCCUGAAACUACUUGGCUAGAGUACUGGAGAGGGUAACGGAAUUCACGGUGUAGCAGUGAAAUGCGUAGAUAUCGUGAGGAACACCAGAGGCGAAGGCGGUUACCUGGACAGUUACUGACGCUCAGGCACGAAAGCGUGGGGAGCAAAAGGG